rnacentral:lncRNA from 1 species
CGAAUAGUAAUUUGGGACGGAGGGAGUAUAUCGUAACGAGUAAGGUACUGUAACAUCAUGAUGAUCGACCUAGCUGUGAUCAGCAUGAUCCUCUCCCAGUAGCAUAAUUAGUGAUGCUGGACUGGGGAGGUUUCAAUCUCUCAUUUAAUAUCAAGGAUGGGCACAUGGCACCACAUCUAUCCCCCGGAUAUCUCCGGUACAUACCAACAGUGCAUGCAUAGCGUCCUAGCAAGUACCGCGAAAUGCUUUAGCUGAUGGGAGCCACCACAGCGCGGGAGCCAAUCAAUUGUUAGAACCAUU